CAGCCGCCACGGUAAUACGGAGGGUGCAAGCGUUAAUCGGAAUUACUGGGCGUAAAGCGUGCGCAGGCGGUUUUGUAAGACAGAGGUGAAAUCCCCGGGCUCAACCUGGGAACUGCCUUUGUGACUGCAAGGCUAGAGUACGGCAGAGGGGGAUGGAAUUCCGCGUGUAGCAGUGAAAUGCGUAGAUAUGCGGAGGAACACCGAUGGCGAAGGCAAUCCCCUGGGCCUGUACUGACGCUCAUGCACGAAAGCGUGGGGAGCAAACAGGAUUAGAUACCCGAGUAGUCCCUGUCUCUUAUAA
rnacentral:rRNA from 1 species